UAUUUUUUCACCACCUGAGCAGUAUUAUUUCUCGCGUUACGGCACGCGACACCGUGGCCGAAUAAUCGAUCGAACAUUUCAUCCUAAAGGUCUUCCACUUUAAUAGCAGAUUGUGCAUCAAGUAGGAGAGCAUGAGUAAGAAGAAAAAUAUGGCUAUCGACUUUCAGGACAACAUGAUACUGCUCACACGAAAAUACCUGAAACGUAAAAUAAUGUGUCCCGAGACUAAAUUUAGACAUCACGUUAAGGAGCGGCUGCACGUGUUGGAAUUGGUGAAGCGUACCGUCGAAAUGGGCGAAAGUAACUCCGCGUUGUUAAUUGGGCCCAGAGGUAGUGGGAAAACAAUGCUUGUUAAUAGCGUCUUGAAGGAAUUGUCGGCUUUGAAGAGCUUUAAGGACAACGCUCUGAUAGUGAAUCUCCAUGGAUUGGUUCACACCGACGACCGGCUGGCGCUGAAAGAUACGACUCGUCAGAUGCAAUUGGAGAAUGUGGUCGGCGAUAAGGUUUUCGGCACGUUCGCGGAGAAUCUGUGCUUUCUUUUGGAGUGUUUGAAAUCUGGCGACAAGAAACUCUCCAAGCCGGUCAUCUUCAUACUUGACGAAUUCGAUUUGUUUUGCGAGCAUCACAAUCAGACGCUGUUGUACAAUCUGUUUGACGUUGCUCAGUCGGCACAGGUUCCGAUAUGCGUGUUAGGGAUAACUUGUAGAUUAGACGUUAUAGAGUUGUUGGAGAAGCGAGUGAAAUCGCGAUUCUCGUAUCGUCAGAUAUUCCUGUUGCCCGGCGACACGUCAUCCACGGAGCAACCCGCGUCCGCAUUCGACGAUCGGCUGGAGCUCUUUCAGCAUCUUCUAAGCUUACCCGACGACGAGAAUGUAAAUAAAAUCGAACAGCAAUACGACGAUUGCACGAUAGAUCCGCAAUUCGGGUCUAUGUGGAACGAGUACAUCAAGAGUCUAACUACUAACGUUACGAUGGUGAACCUGCUGAAGAGGAUGUAUCAUAUCGACGUGAGCGAAAGGCGCUUUAGGAAUUUCCUCGCGGUCGCGGUCUCAACGUUAUCCGAGAAACAUCAGAAGUUGGAGGUGAACGAUUUCGUGGAGGCGAGUAAGAUCUUUUCGCAGGACGACAAAGUGCUGAUGCUCGAGGGAUUAUCCAUUUUAGAAAUGUGUUUGAUCAUAGCAAUGAAACAAGAAACAGAAAUUUUCGACGACGAGCCGUUGAAUUUCGAAAUGAUUUACAAUCGUUACAUCAAAUUCGCAAAUCAGAAUUCCUCCAUACAAUCUGUCCAGAAGCCGGUGAUCAUGAAAGCUUUCGAGCAUAUCAAGAACCUGGAGAUCUUGCUGCCAGUUGGACAUUCGAAUAUGAGAGUCGAAAAGGAGUAUCAAUAUUAUAAAUUUACGUUGACAUCGAAGCAAGUUAUGGAGGCUGUGAAAAAUUACCCGGGUCUUCCCACGGAAGUUUCUCAGUGGGCGGCGAGCAGUAUAUAAUAACGGUGUGCUCGCGAGUCCACGUACACCCAACCUAUUGUGUUCCACAAAGUUACACAGUAAAGCUUGAUUGAACCAACCCCGAGAAGAUUUUCAUCAAAAAUUGCUGUGGUGAUCGUCAAAGCAGGUGUGUGUCUUUGGAGCGAAUUCAUGAUAUGAUUUAUAGUGUUUUUUUGUAUUACGAUUGAAGAAAACUUAAAGUAAGAUCGAGACGUUUCGUAUCUUGUACUUUUGUGUCAGAAUUUAAUAAAUUUGAGUGAUCUUCAUUUGCCAUUUUGGCUUCUGUCGUAUGUUUCGUAUCUUACACGAACGUUAGAUAAUUAUUUUAUACAAUAUAUUAUUAUCGUUAUUGUAUAUUACGAUCCAGAAAUCCCACCAUCUGGCAGUUCUGCGUGUAGAUAGUAUUUCCGUCGAUAUGCAGCUGACACUUAGGCCGAUAUUCAUAAGUCAGAUCUUAUAUUUAAGGUCGUCUCAAGUUCACCCUCCGACGUUUCGCAACCAAUGAAAUGAACCGUACAGAACCUGAAGACGAACUUAAAACGGUCUUAUAUAUAUAUAUAUAUAUAUAAGAUCCGACUGAUGAAUCCCAGCUUUAAAAGAAUUCAUAAGAAGAUGACUUGACCGGCGAACUACCUUAAUUAAUCCCGAUAUUUGCUUCCGAAAGAGCGGUAAUUG